GACGAACGCUGGCGGCGUGCUUAACACAUGCAAGUCGAACGGUAAGGCCCUUCGGGGUACACGAGUGGCGAAUGGGUGAGUAACACGUGGGUGAUCUGCCCUGCACUCCGGGAUAAGCCUGGGAAACUGGGUCUAAUACCGGAUAGGACCACUGCCUGCAUGGGUGGUGGUGGAAAGCUUUUGCGGUGUGGGAUGGGCCCGCGGCCUAUCAGCUUGUUGGUGGGGUGAUGGCCUACCAAGGCGACGACGGGUAGCCGGCCUGAGAGGGUGACCGGCCACACUGGGACUGAGAUACGGCCCAGACUCCUACGGGAGGCAGCAGUGGGGAAUAUUGCACAAUGGGCGCAAGCCUGAUUCAGCGACGCCGCGUGAGGGAUGACGGCCUUCGGGUUGUAAACCUCUUUCAGCACCGACGAAGCGCAAGUGACGGUAGGUGCAGAAGAAGGACCGGCCAACUACGUGCCAGCCGCCGCCGUAA
rnacentral:rRNA from 1 species